AAGAGGUGUAUUAACAAUUAGAGCUGCUAACUCAAAUAGCU
rnacentral:tRNA from 1 species